CCCGUUGAUGCGUAUAUAUGCAGCUCUUUUUUUUUUGAGCGCAAGCUCUUUUUUUUUUAUGCAGCUUUCUCUAGGCUCAUGGGCUUUUUCAACCCUUCUCGGUGUUCUUGAUCAUAAGGCCCAUGACACACGUAUCAGCCCCGGACUCCGAUCCUGUUUAGUUUACGCUUGCUGUUUCUCAAAAAAAAAAAAAAGAGUUUACGCUUGCUUGCUCUACAUAUAAAUACACACGCACCCUGCACGGCC
rnacentral:lncRNA from 1 species